CGCGUGUGUGUAUUUUAAAAAAUAAAAUCGAAAAAUAGUCUAGUUGGCCAUUCAAACGAGUCUCCAUAAAAAUAAAGAAAUAUAGAGAAAAAAUUCUCUACAAUUAAGGCCUUUUUGGCGCCAAGCGUUGUCUGGAAUUUUUGUGCUAGCGUUGCAAUGUGUGCGUGAUUUUUUUUUUUUUGGUUUUUUGAAAUUUUCAAAAAUAUGUGCUAAAUUCUGUAAACAUCAAAUAUUUAAAGUGUUUCAGUGGUUUUUGUUUGAAUUACAAUUACAAAAUUGAAAUUUGGCUGAAUGUUGUAAUUUUUUGUUUCUCCGUUCGGUUCGAAAUAAAGACAUCAUUCAUCACUCUGCGGCCUGCCAAAUGUAAAGUAAUUAAAAGAAUUCUUGUGUUUUGGCCAAAAAACAAAGACGACCAGCAGCAGUGGCAGUGCGGUGUGGUGUGGUGGUGGUGGUGGUGGCAAAGGCAACAACAAAGAAUUUGGUUUUUUGACGCUAUCAAAUCAGUUGGAAAGUCAAAACAACAACGUCGAACAAUUCUGCCAACAGAGAAACAAAAGAAAAAUCACUCAAACAAAAUAGAAACGCAGUACAAAGAACAACACCAAGAUCGGGACGCGCGCUUUCAAAACAAAAAAAAAACGUAACAAAGGAAAUAGGAAAACAAUAUGAGAAUUACAACGGCCACGGGUUAUAGUUAGUAGCUAAAUAGAAUAACAACAAAAACAACAACAUCAGCACCAAAAGACCACAACUAAAUAUCAAUUCCCCCCAAGAGAGCCAGAGAGAAAACAGAACAAAAUUGAGACUUUGACCACACACCAAAAAAUAAUAAAAACAACAACAAAAACAAAACUGACAACACAAUUGGUACCAGGGAACCAUUAGCCACCGACAACACAUUUCCCUACAUUUCCGCCAAUCUCUCCCCCAAAAAAAUAAAAUAAUAUAAAACUACAACAAAACAUAUCUCAACCCCAUGCCCAAAAACACACUCACAUACAUACCGACACACCUACACCCGAAUUUUGAAAAGAAAAUCGCCUAACAAAAGAUUCCGCAACAUCGAGGGAAAACACGAAAUUGCCAAAAUAAAAUUUUCGGAACAUUUUCAAGAAAAUUAGUUCGAAGUAAAACUUGAUGCCGGGCACAACACGGGGCACACGAAACGAGCGAAUUGAAAAAAGAAGCACAUGCCUGCCAUGCAUCACGCACGUACGGCCGCACGGGGUAAGGCAGUGGCAGAAACGUCAUUAAUGUUUACAACAACAACACCAACAACGUCAUCGUCUUCGUUUCGUUUUCCUGAAAUUUAGUUUAGUGGCAGUGCUUUUCCUUUCUCAUUUCGUUUUUCAAUAAAGAAA
rnacentral:sRNA from 1 species